ensembl:snRNA U2 U2 spliceosomal RNA
AUCGCUUCUCAGCCUUUUGGCUAAGAUCAAGUGCAGAACACACAACAAAAUUGGCUCCUGAAAGACUAUACAACUCCAGAAUGAGGAGUAUAUUUUAUCUUCUUUUUUUGUCUCUCUGUAUUUUCUGCUGAUGCUUUCUACAACGUACACUUUCUUUAAAAUUUGCUUGUGUAAAAGGGAAAAACGUA